rnacentral:rRNA from 1 species
UACGUAGGGCGCAAGCGUUAUCCGGAAUUACUGGGCGUAAAGCGCACGUAGGCGGCUAUUCAAGUCGGGGGUGAAAGCCCGGGGCUCAACCCCGGAACUGCCCUCGAAACUAGAUAGCUAGAAUCUUGGAGAGGCGAGUGGAAUUCCGAGUGUAGAGGUGAAAUUCGUAGAUAUUCGGAAGAACACCAGUGGCGAAGGCGACUCGCUGGACAAGUAUUGACGUUGAGGUGCGAAAGCGUGGGGAGCAAACAGG